GAUGAACGCUAGCGGCAGGCCUAAUACAUGCAAGUCGAGGGGUAGAGAAGAGCUUGCUUUUCUUGAGACCGGCGCACGGGUGCGUAACGCGUAUGCAACCUACCUUUAUCAGGGGGAUAGCCUCUCGAAAGAGAGAUUAACACCGCAUAAAAACACAGUGCGGCAUCGUACAAUGUUCAAAUAUUUAUAGGAUAAAGAUGGGCAUGCGUGACAUUAGCUAGUUGGUGAGGUAAGGGCUCACCAAGGCGACGAUGUCUAGGGGAUCUGAGAGGAUGACCCCCCACACUGGUACUGAGACACGGACCAGACUCCUACGGGAGGCAGCAGUAAGGAAUAUUGGUCAAUGGGGGCAACCCUGAACCAGCCAUGCCGCGCGCAGGAAGACGGCCCUACGGGUUGUAAACUGCUUCUAUACGGGAAUAAACCCCUUUACGUGUAAAGGGUUGAAUGUACUGUAAGAAUAAGGAUCGGCUAACUCCGUGCCAGCAGCCGCCGUAACAC
rnacentral:rRNA from 1 species